rnacentral:rRNA from 1 species
UACGAAGGGGGCUAGCGUUGUUCGGAUUAACUGGGCGUAAAGGGUGCGUAGGCGGGGUUUUAAGUCAGGGGUGAAAUGCCGAGGCUCAACUUCGGAACUGCCUUUGAUACUGGGGAUCUUGAGUCCGGGAGAGGUGAGUGGAACUGCGAGUGUAGAGGUGAAAUUCGUAGAUAUUCGCAAGAACACCAGUGGCGAAGGCGGCUCACUGGCCCGGAACUGACGCUGAGACGCGAAAGCGUGGGGAGCAAACAGG